UACGUAGGGGGCUAGCGUUGUCCGGAUUUAUUGGGCGUAAAGAGCGUGUAGGCGGCCAGGUAGGUCUGGUGUGAAAACUCGAGGCUUAACCUCGAGAUGUCAUCGGAAACCAUCUGGCUAGAGUCCGGAAGAGGCGAGUGGAAUUCCUGGUGUAGCGGUGAAAUGCGCAGAUAUCAGGAGGAACACCAAUUGCGAAGGCAGCUCGCUGGGACGUUACUGACGCUGAGACGCGAAAGCGUGGGGAGCAAACAGG
rnacentral:rRNA from 1 species